AUGGCAAGGAGCUAGACGUGCAUACAACAAGCAGCUGUGUGCAUGCGUGCAACGUGCAUGCGAUAGGGGCAAACAAGAACAAAAGAAACUCCUCGAGAAGUUUGCUAAUUCUCAGAUUGUUAUUAUUUCCUAAGUCUUUUAGUUAUUGAGUUUGCUAAUUCUUAGAUUGUUAUUAUUUCCUAAGACUUACAGUCAUCUAAAUUGUAGUGUUC
rnacentral:lncRNA from 1 species